rnacentral:misc_RNA from 1 species
AAGUCGUAACAAGGUCUCCGUUGGUGAACCAGCGGAGGGAUCAUUACGAGAGAGUUGCAAGACUCCCAAAACCCCAUGUGAACGCAUUACAGAAAAGCAUUCAAUGUUGCUCCGGCGGGCGGCCCCUGGGAGGGGCCGCCGCGGCCCGGUCGGUCAAUACCGGGCGCCCGCCGGAGGGACGCAACCACAAAACCAUUCAGUACGCAAUGCCAUCUGAUUCAGAAAAAAACAAUCAGUUAAAACUUUCAACAACGGAUCUCUUGGUUCUG